rnacentral:sRNA from 2 species
CGAGGAGAACCGUAGCCGCUGCAACUCCGCUAGGUGAGAUGCCGCGGGUGAUACUUCUCCAAGAGCUC